CGGCGCGGCAGCCUGGUCCGCUCCCGCCCGGCGCCUCGGGCCCUCUCUGCUCCGCCGCGCGCUUUGCCUCCCGCCCCGGCCCCUGCUUCUCCGCGCUGCCCUCCCCACCGUUGCUUCUCCCGUCUUCCCAUCCCCGGGGAAGACAGGGCCACCUCGGUCGUUCCCCCAACGAUUGCUUUCUCUAGAGUCCCAGGGGUCAGCCUCUCCGUGACCACUUUUCUAUGGACCCUGUUUUCUUUCUCUGUCUCCUGCUUUCUCUCUUCCCCGUAUCUCUGUCUCGCCCUGAUUCCCUGUCCCCUCAUUGUCCCUCUCUUCACUUGGCUCUGUGUGUCCGUCACGGUCUCUCUUGUCUCAGCCUCUCUCGCCUGUCCCAGGAACCCUGCAUGCCUGUGCCUCUGUCCCCUCCCCCGCCCCGGGGCUCCCCACCAUCCGCAGGUGAAAGCCACAGACUGUCCAGACACCCCUGCUUCAAGUCCAUUCCCGGAGAAUUGGUGUGCCUGGCUGUAGUCAGAACCUGUUACCAGGCCCUGUGUUCUUCGUGGGACUGAAAUGCACAUAAAUGUGGCCACCUGGCUCCUUUCUGUGUCCCCUCCCUGCUCCGGGGCGUAGCCUGGGUAGGAGUGCCCUGGACCAGGUAGCAACCUCCAGGAUCAGUCUGGGCAUCACCUCCUCCUCCUGAAGGCCUUCCAGGCUCGCUUUCCCAGCCCCCAGCUUCUCCUGGCACCUGGCACUUUAUCUGGUGUAAUCUUCACUAACCCCUUCGAGUGGGACGCCUGGGUGGCUCAGCGGUUUGGUGCCUGCCCUUGACCCACGGCCUGAUCCUGG